rnacentral:lncRNA from 1 species
CAAAGUAAUGGCAUUUAAAAUGCAUUGCUGUGGGGAUGCCAAAUUGGAUCGGGGUCACUGCAGUGCCAGGCACUAUACGUGCAGAGAAGUAGCUGCCUGUCAGGGAGGAUUUCAGACUCUUUUCCUCUUAACUUCUCUCUACCAGACCUUCAGACGCUUGCUGAUGGUGACUGUGGUGGUUACAGUCUGGCUGACCACAGGGGCAAAAAAUCACAUGCAUUUGAGAGGAGGUAGAAAGGCUCCUGAGAGCCUUUUUUACCAUUUUUUUUAUGCUGUUUUCCCUCACUCUAACAAACAUGUAAAGGCACCAAGGUCCCUUGUCACAAUAUUAUGAAAUUUUGUCCUUCCUGAAUGGGCACUGAGGACACAGGCGCUGUGGCAGCUGCAGGUGGAUCUGCUGUCUGUCGCUGGUGAUGGGGCAUGGAAACACGCUGGGCUGCUUCUGUACUUUGUACUGUGAUGAUCUUAACCAGAUAUAAAGGCAUAUCCACGAAAACCAGCAUAUAAAACCUCUGCCACUUUAUCAGAGCCCUCCCUGUGCUACGAGGUUUCCAAAGGCCGCAGACAGACCACUGGCUUUGAACAUCCCCUGGCUGCUAUUAAUCCUUCUAGGUAAUGGCAGGGGGCAUUCCUCACUGAUGGCACACAGCUGCGAGGUUAAACCCCUGCAGGAGGGCUGCCUGGAGGAGCAGCCAGGAUGCUCCACCUCCUGCAGGGACCAUAUAGGGGAAGGAGAGAGCUGGGUGAGCAAAGCUGAUCUACCUCACCAUGGCCCCAAAAGGGUGCUCCAGGCUGAGAUGCUCCAUGGCAGGGAUGGACAAAAAGGGUUAUUCAGACUCCAGACUAACCAGUCUAUGCAGCAGCAAGUGGCAUGGAGUACAUUUAAAAUGUCAGAUACAUUUGUCACCGGGUCUGCUCCUGGGCCACCUGCCUGGACAUGGGGGAUCUCACCCUGCUGUAGGUGCUGUUGGGGCUGCGGAUGUGUAUCUGGGGGCAUUGAUAUCUGUCCCACCAGGGAUGCCAGCGAGCAUUGUUCCUUCCUACGGCACAGCAAAAUGUGUAACAGCUUUGAGCAUCGUUUUUGCUGAGCUAGGAAUGUCUUGGCUUCUGUGAUUGGCACACAGCCAGAUCUUGCUGGCAUUGGUAUUUUGCUGUGCUCAGAGGAUGCCUUUGGAAGAAAUUCGCUGUCUAACAUGUGGAAAGUGACAACAUCAGCAAAUAUCUUGAAGAGGUGAGGGAGGAAGACACAACUUAAAUUUUAUGCAAUGUCUCGGAUUAGAUCUUGGCACAGGAAGCUCAAGACAAAAUGCCCAGAGGGGUCAGAUCUGGACAAUACUUCCUCUUGCCCACCUUUUAAGCUAUUCAGGCUUUCUGAUUGCUAGCUCAGCAAACAGACUUGAACCCUGGUCCAUUCUCUGUCCUUUCUGUUGUCUUCUUGCCUGUGAAGGUCACCCACCAGUGUGACACUUGAUAAGCCUUUAAAAGCUGACCCAGCAUGGCAAGUACCAUUGCAGUGCUGUACAGCUACCAUGGAGGAGAAUUUUGUUUCCUUCAGGAUUCAUCUGUGGCGUGUUUCUUUGUAAUUCCCAUAUUCGUUACAUUUUGUGCCUCAUUUUCCACUCCGCUUUUGUUUUUGAGAAAACAUAAAUGUUUUGUACCAUAGCAUUGCUUUUCUUGUCUAUCAUUAAAGCAGCAGUAGCCAGUGGGAUUCUACCACGGGCAUUCCCUGAAUCUCUUCUGCAGUCCUCACCACUCUG